GUGCUCGCUUCAACAGCACAUAUACUAAAAUUGGAACCAUGCAAAGAUUAGCAUGGCCCUGCACAAGAAUGACUCGCAAAUUCACAAAGUGUUCCAUAUUAAA